GACCCUGACAAGUGUACCAGAUCGUUAUAAAGUAAUAUAAAAUGGGUAAGUGCAAGUAUCGUUUCCCAAAGGACUCUUAGGCUUUACUUUUCAUGUAAACCAAUCACAUAAGACUUGAGAAGAAAUUAAUUUUGGGUUUUUAAUGCAAAAACAAAAGUAAACAUGCAAAUGCAGUGAAUCAAUUGGCUAAAGAGACUAUGAACGAAUGGAGUUGUUGGAAUUUACAAUUUCAUCUUAUCCACCCUCUUAUAUCUACUUUUCUUAUCUAAUUUUCUUAUUUAUCAAAUUGUCAUGAAAAUUUUCUUGGUCUACCCUUAACCCAAUUCCUUGGCGAAAAGAGCCUAUUACUAAUUACCAGCUUGCUAUCCCUAGCCUCCCCUAGCAAUUAAUAAUGCAUGAUAAACAGAAGCAAAAUAUAAUUGAUCGUCUUACCCCUAUUCCUAGGCAGUAUUAGCAUAAUCAAGGAAUUCCCCCCAGUUCAUGACAUUACUGUACGUUCCCGUAUCAAUAAAGACAAACAACAUUUAUCGAAUGAGUUAAACGAUAAAAGCAUUAAGCAAAGGUAAGGAACCCAACAAUUCAU
rnacentral:lncRNA from 1 species